GUAGGUGAACCUGCGGAAGGAUCAUUAACGAUUAAUAUUCUUUUUCAAAGAAAUUCAAGAAUUAAAUUCAAAAAUAGUUGCGUUUGCAUGGAGCGAAAGCGAGGUGUUUGUCGCGAUCGCUCGGAAACGCUUAACCCGGUUAGUCCUAAAGCACGGUAGUACCGUGGGGCGAAACGUGUUAUUUUGAACGCAAGAAUCUCGGAUGCCUGACGGCGACGUAUGUCGUUAUCAAUUCGGGCUAUAAAGGACU
rnacentral:misc_RNA from 1 species